UACGGAGGGGGCUAGCGUUGUUCGGAAUUACUGGGCGUAAAGCGCGCGUAGGCGGACCUGCAAGUCGGGGGUGAAAGCCCGAGGCUCAACCUCGGAACUGCCUUCGAUACUGCGGGUCUCGAGUCCUGGAGAGGUGAGUGGAAUUCCUAGUGUAGAGGUGAAAUUCGUAGAUAUUAGGAAGAACACCAGUGGCGAAGGCGGCUCACUGGCCCGGUACUGACGCUGAGGCGCGAAAGCGUGGGGAGCAAACAGG
rnacentral:rRNA from 1 species